rnacentral:rRNA from 1 species
AGUGAACGCUGGCGGUAGGCCUAACACAUGCAAGUCGAACGGCAGCACAGUAAGAGCUUGCUCUUACGGGUGGCGAGUGGCGGACGGGUGAGGAAUACAUCGGAAUCUACUUUUUCGUGGGGGAUAACGUAGAGAAACUUACGCUAAUACCGCAUACGACCUACGGGUGAAAUCAGGGGAUCUUCGGACCUUGCGCGAUUGAAUGAGCCGAUGUCGGAUUAGCUAGUUGGCGGGGUAAAGGCCCACCAAGGCGACGAUCCGUAGCUGGUCUGAGAGGAUGAUCAGCCACACUGGAACUGAGACACGGUCCAGACUCCUACGGGAGGCAGCAGUGGGGAAUAUUGGACAAUGGGCGCAAGCCUGAUCCAGCCAUACCGCGUGGGUGAAGAAGGCCUUCGGGUUGUAAAGCCCUUUUGUUGGGAAAGAAAAGCAGCAGGUUAAUACCCCGCUGUUCUGACGGUACCCAAAGAAUAAGCACCGGCUAACUUCGUG